AAAUGGACACUCAUAAUAUUCUUUUAAGAUAAAGUAAAACAACUUCAUAUUUGCAAACUUGAUGUACAUAUCUUUGUGUGUAGAUAGCUUACCACAUCCUCAUAUGUCCACUGAACCCUUUUUUUGUGAGUUGCUAAGUAAACUUUUGCUCUAUGUGGCCAUUUUUUUGCAGGGUCGGCUUGUCUCUAAACAUAAAAGCAAUGCAAGAAUGAUAAGAAAAAAUAUAGAAAAAAGUAUGGAACUAGAAAAAAGGGCUCACCAAGUCCUCAGAGCAAUGAGCAUAACUUUUUGCACCCAUUGUAGGUGUUGUCUUUCUCAUUUUACAGCUUGUUUUGUUCUUCUCACUAACAGCAUAUAGCAUAGUAAUAAAUUAGUAAAAUACUAGACACAUUUUGUUAAAAAAGAGAGUAACAAAAAUAAUCAUGCACUUUUCGUACCUUUCCUUCUGUAGACUUCCGAUAUUUUAUUAGAUUAUUCCAUUGAUCUUGAUCAACAUCAUUUGGACAGAUCUUGUACAAAUAAGACCUUUUCUUUUUAUGAUUAAAUAGUUUAUUUUUUUAAUGCUGACUUGUAUUUCCUCCAAUCUCUUCCGAU
rnacentral:lncRNA from 1 species